AUUCAUGUCCAUAAUGUUGCGGUAUCUCCCACUGUCAAGGUAUUUAUUGAUCUUUUUAUAGGCAUUAACAUGCUUUGCCCAUAGAGUAUUGUCUUCGUGAUACGAUGCAACCGACACCCCAGGUACGGAACCGCUAGAUAUUCUGGGAGGAACAGAAUUUAGUCUCUCGGGGAAAGUCUUUAGUUGACCUCCAGCAAUCUCUUCAGGCCGGUUAACCUCGGGGAAGGGAGUUACACAUGUUUCCAUCUUUUGGUACCAGACAUCAUCAGCAUUCGCAGAUUCGCAAAUCCUGACACGUGGCUCAUCUUGCCUCCCGGGGCAAGAAUCAGCAUUUAUCCGCUUCCUCCAUAUGGCAAUCUCACCCUUCUCCGAGAA
rnacentral:misc_RNA from 1 species